rnacentral:rRNA from 1 species
AACGAACGCUGGCGGCAUGCCUAACACAUGCAAGUCGAACGAGACCUUCGGGUCUAGUGGCGCACGGGUGCGUAACGCGUGGGAACCUGCCCUUAGGUUCGGAAUAACUCCCCGAAAGGGGUGCUAAUACCGGAUAAUGUCUUCGGACCAAAGAUUUAUCGCCUUUGGAUGGGCCCGCGUUGGAUUAGCUAGUUGGUAGGGUAAAAGCCUACCAAGGCGACGAUCCAUAGCUGGUCUGAGAGGAUGAUCAGCCACACUGGGACUGAGACACGGCCCAGACUCCUACGGGGGGAAGCAGGGGGGAAUAUUGGAAAAGGGGCAAAAGCCUGAUCCACAAAUGCCGGGGGGGGGAUGAAGGCCUUGGGGUGGUAAAGCUCUUUUACCCGGGAUGAAAAUGACAGUACCGGGAAAAAAAGCCCCGGCUAACUCCGU